GACGAACGCUGGCGGCGUGCUUAACACAUGCAAGUCGAACGAAGAGCGAUGGAAGCUUGCUUCUAUCAAUCUUAGUGGCGAACGGGUGAGUAACGCGUAAUCAACCUGCCCUUCAGAGGGGGACAACAGUUGGAAACGACUGCUAAUACCGCAUACGAUCUAAUCUCGGCAUCGAGGAUAGAUGAAAGGUGGCCUCUACAUGUAAGCUAUCACUGAAGGAGGGGAUUGCGUCUGAUUAGCUAGUUGGAGGGGUAACGGCCCACCAAGGCGAUGAUCAGUAGCAGGUCUGAGAGGAUGAACGGCCACAUUGGGACUGAGACACGGCCCAGACUCCUACGGGAGGCAGCAGUGGGGAAUCUUCCGCAAUGGACGAAAGUCUGACGGAGCAACGCCGCGUGAGUGAUGACGGCCUUCGGGUUGUAAAGCUCUGUUAAUCGGGACGAAAGGCCUUCUUGCGAAUAGUGAGAAGGAUUGACGGUACCGGAAUAGAAAGCCACGGCUAACUACGUG
rnacentral:rRNA from 1 species